rnacentral:tRNA from 1 species
AGGGGCAUAGCUUAAGUGGCAGAGCACUUGUCUAGAAAGUGUGAGGCUCUGGGUUCAAACCUCAGUGCUACAA